GCCGGAGUGGCGGAAUUGGUAGACGCGCACGACUCAAAAUCGUGUGACAGCAAUGUUGUGGGGGUUCGAUUCCCUCCUUCGGUA
rnacentral:tRNA from 1 species